AAGCCCCUGCAGCCCUCCGCCCCAUGGCCGUUGCCGCGCUCGCGGCCCCCACUCGUGUCCUACUCAGCGCCACUUGUGAGACCCACGGCCCAGAGAACACCCAGCGCCUGUGGCAUAAACUAAUUAAGCAAAUCGAAUAAUUAGCUCGGCAGUGGGACCGAUCUGCUCCCACCCAGCUGCAGCCCCCUCUCGUGGUGUUAGCCCCUCCAGACCGUGCAGGAAGGCAGAUAACCAGCAUUUCCCAAGCCCCUGCUUUGUGCCCGAUGCCGCGCUGAGCCGGGGGUUCAAACAAGUAGAGGAAAGGGCAGGCCGCCUCUGCCCGCGGAGAGGCUGUACUCCAAGGGAACCGCCAAGGAGGGUGGGGAAGGUGCUCCCGGGGAGCCAGGUCGGGAGCGGAGGGAAGCCAAGUCGGUCUGGGCCGGGCCCCAGCGAGGUGCGCCCUCCCCUCGCCUCCCCUGCGCAGCCCGUCGGUGGGAGAAGGGAGAGGGCCCUUGCCGGGGGAGAAGACAGCGGGCACUGAGGGAGAUUCUCAGAUAGGGCGGCAGCCGUGUUAUGGUGGGGAAGCCCAGUAUUCUCAUUUUGAUCUUCCUCUCUCCCUUCUCUAUAUCUUCAUAUGGACUGGCCUUCAGACCUGUAAAGGACUCCUGAGAGGAAUGAUUAUUUCUAUCUCACAAUCAUAGCUAAGUUACUAUUGGGGAAAUCCAGGAUAUUUUCCCUUCAAACCUUAUCCUCUACUAGGUCAAAGCAGCCUCUGAAGAAUAGGAUUGAUAAUGAGAUUAAAUUUAACAUUCUCCUCAAUCUUGUUCAGACCCUACCCAAUUGGGGAAGCCCAGUGUGUUCUACUCAGAUUUGGGGAAGGAGUGGGGCAGGGACUGGAGGGAGAGAGAUUUCUCCUGCGUUCUGCUGAGGAGGGGUUAACCUUUGUCGAGAUGGGCCUCUGGGGUGGUCUGGGAAUGAGUAACAAAAUCCAAGUCAGGUUCCCCCAGCUCCUCAUUAGAAUAAAUCCACCUCUCAUAAUAUUCAUUCUGCUCAUUAAUUAUUAACCAAUUAGAAUUGAUUACCAUUUGUCAGGAACACCCACUCUUCCAAGGGCAUCCACCUUUAGUUUAAGAGAGAAGCCAAAUGACC
rnacentral:lncRNA from 1 species